AUACUUACCUGGCAGGUGAGAUAUCGUGAUCACAGAGGUAGUUUUCCCAGGGCGAGACUCAUCCCAUUGCACUCCAGAUGUGCUGACCCCUGUGAUUUCCCCAAGUUUGGGAAAAUCAACUGCACAAUUUGUGGUAGUGGAGGACUGUGUUUGUGCUUUCCCCUG
rnacentral:snRNA from 1 species